rnacentral:rRNA from 1 species
UACGUAGGGACCGAGCGUUGUCCGGAUUCAUUGGGCGUAAAGAGCUCGUAGGCGGCUGCUCAAGUCGAAUGUGAAAACUCGAGGCUCAACCUCGAGCCUGCAUUCGAUACUGGGCGGCUAGAGUCUGGUAGGGGGAGUCUGGAAUUCCUGGUGUAGCGGUGGAAUGCGCAGAUAUCAGGAAGAACACCCGUGGCGAAGGCGGCUCUCUGGGACGGUACUGACGCUGAGACGCGAAAGCGUGGGGAGCGAACAGG